GGAUUGUUCACCCACCAAUAGGGAACGUGAGCUGGGUUUAGACUGUCGUGAGAUAGGUUAGUUUUACCCUACUGAUGAUAGUGUUGCAAUAGUAGUUCAACCUAGUAUGAGAGGAACUGUUGAUUCGCACAAUUGGUCAUUGCGCUUGGUUGAAAAGCCAGGGGCGCGAAGCUGCCGUGUGCUGGAUUAUGACUAAACGCCUCUAAGUCAGAAUCCAGGCUAGAAGCGACACAUGCGCCCACCGCCCACUUGCCGACCCGCAGUAGGGGCCGUCCGGCCCCCAAAGGCACGUGUCCUUGGUGAAGCCCGCGCGGUGGAUGAGCCACGCGUGCCACCUUGAAGUACAAUUCCUAUCUCGGGCGGCGGGUAGAAUCCUUUGCAGAUGACUUAAAUAUGCGACGGGGUAUUGUAAGUGGCAGAGUGGCCUUGCUGCCACGAUACACUGAGAUUCAGCUCUGCGUCGCUCCGAUUCGUCCCUCCC
rnacentral:rRNA from 1 species